UAGCGCAAGCUUGUGUGUGACGCCUUGUGCUAUCUAACUAUGCUCCGAUAUAGUGACGCCACAUGACCCUGUGACGUCAUAGCGUUUUCUGUAUAAGAACAAGCCGUUCUUGGCAAUAAAGCAGUUGCCUUUCUGCUCCGGGACCGUUGUCGCUCUUCUGCGUUAGUUCAUCUGGCGACGAGGAUGGGACAGGACCACCGUGACCUGGCCUACUAGACACCAUCAACGAAGAUGCGGCGGCUCAACGAGGCCACGCUACUACUGGAGGCGUCGCUACCAUAGGCUAGCAAGAGAUCCGGAAUCCAAACAAACCUGUCUCAGCUGACCCAUGGCAGCAACUUCCCGACACAAGGCACCUGGCCGAGCUGCAACAACGGCCAGAUACAGAUCCCGUAGUCACCCCUACAAGACCCCCGAUGGCCGCCGCAGAACCCGUGGAAUCUGCAUUACCAGACUCUGUGCAGAGUCCAACCCCUCGGGCUUCAACCGACCCUCCGACUACGGCAACAACGACUUCACACAAGGACACAUACCCAGCAGAGCAGAGCACAGAAGUUCCAAGCAAGCCCGAAGUCAUGCCUCGACGAAGCGGCCGUGCG